AUUGAACGCUGGCGGCAGGCCUAACACAUGCAAGUCGAGCGGAUGAAGGGAGCUUGCUCCCUGAUUCAGCGGCGGACGGGUGAGUAAUGCCUAGGAAUCUGCCUGGUAGUGGGGGACAACGUCUCGAAAGGGACGCUAAUACCGCAUACGUCCUACGGGAGAAAGCAGGGGACCUUCGGGCCUUGCGCUAUCAGAUGAGCCUAGGUCGGAUUAGCUAGUUGGUGAGGUAAUGGCUCACCAAGGCGACGAUCCGUAACUGGUCUGAGAGGAUGAUCAGUCACACUGGAACUGAGACACGGUCCAGACUCCUACGGGAGGCAGCAGUGGGGAAUAUUGGACAAUGGGCGAAAGCCUGAUCCAGCCAUGCCGCGUGUGUGAAGAAGGUCUUCGGAUUGUAAAGCACUUUAAGUUGGGAGGAAGGGUUGUAGAUUAAUACUCUGCAAUUUUGACGUUACCGACAGAAUAAGCACCGGCUAACUCUGUGCCAGCAGCCGCGGUAAUACAGAGGGUGCAAGCGUUAAUCGGAAUUACUGGGCGUAAAGCGCGCGUAGGUGGGUUGUUAAGUUGGAUGUGAAAGCCCCGGGCUCAACCUGGGAACUGCAUUCAAAACUGACAAGCUAGAGUAUGGUAGAGGGUGGUGGAAUUUCCUGUGUAGCGGUGAAAUGCGUAGAUAUAGGAAGGAACACCAGUGGCGAAAGGCGACCACCUGGACUGAUACUGACACUGAGGUGCGAGAGCGUGGGGAGCAAACAGGAUUAGAUACCCUGGUAGUCCACGCCGUAAACGAUGUCAACUAGCCGUUGGGAGCCUUGAGCUCUUAGUGGCGCAGCUAACGCAUUAAGUUCACCGCCUGGGGAGUACGGCCG
rnacentral:rRNA from 1 species